CUUGUUAAUAAUAAGAGGUCCAGCCUGCCCAGUGACAAAGUUCAACGGCCGCGGUACCCUAACCGAGCGAAGGUAGCAUAAUCACUUGUUCUUUAAAUAAGGACUUGUAUCAAUGGCACCACGAGGGUCGUACUGUCUCCUUUCUCCAAUCAGUGAAACUGAUCUUCCCGUGAAAAAGCGGGAAUACACAUAUAAGACGAGAAGACCCCAUGGAGCUUUAAACCUCCAGCAACUUAACUAUAAAUUUCUUCACAACCCCAAAGAAAUGCUUGUUGGUUUUAGGUUGGGGUGACCACGGAGUAAAAACCAACCUCCGCAACGCAUAAACCUAAAUUUUUAUUUAAGAGCCACAACUCUAAAAAAUAGUAUACUAACGUACACUGAUCCGAUAAUCGAUUAAUGAACCA
rnacentral:rRNA from 1 species